AGUGAUUCGAUGUAAUUCCUGCGGCGUCUAUUUGUACACGCCGCACCUAGAAUAAAAAAGAAUCACGUUUUCAGAUUGCAACUAAGGAAGAUGGCUGAGGAACAGCCAAAGUACAAAUUGAUCUACUUUAAUGCACGAGGUCGUGCCGAGCAUAUUCGCUACAUAUUCGCUUACGCGAGCAUCGACUACAUCGACGAAAGGAUCUCCAACGAUCGUUGGCCUGAGCUUAAGAAGUCGAUGCCUUACGGGAUGCUGCCAAUUCUGGAGAUCGACGGUAAGCCGAUAGCGCAAAGCAACGCCGUGGCGCGUUACCUGGCCCGUAAACACAAUCUCGCGGGCAAGGACGAAUGGGAAUCGAUGAUGUGCGACGUGCUGGUCGAUACCUUGGGAGAUUUGAAACAAUGUAUCUUUCAAUUUCGCACAGAGGAGGAUCACUUUAAGAAGGAGGAGAAGAAGGCGAAGCUUCUGAAGGAAACAAUACCGUUCUACUUGAAUAAGUUCGAGCAAACUGUUGCUGAGAAUGGUGGUUACGCAGUCGGUUCUACGACCACGUGGGCGGACUUCGUGUUCACCGUGGCGUUGGAGAACUUUGAGAACAUUUUUGGCGCGACUGCCUUAGAUAAUUAUCCGGCGUUACGCGGAUUGAAGAAGCGGGUACAUGAAAUUUCAACGAUCGCCGACUGGUUGUCACGGCGACCUCAUUCAGAGUUUUGAAAUGUCGAUGCAAUGAUGGAACCCGGAAGGCGACAUCAACGGCAUCACAAACAACCAGCACAGGAAAAUGCAAGAAAUGCAACAAAAUAGAAUGCAGUUAAUAGGAUUGAUUGUAACAAAGAUUUAAAGGUAUGUAAUUUGUAAACAUUAUCAUGCUUUUAUCAAUAAGACGGCCUCUUUAUAAAUGUACUAAAUAAGCUCAAGCCCGAUGUACUUCAUAAGAUCAUUGUGUUUGAACGAGAUAAUAAACGAGAAGAUGUGCUUGUAAAAUAUACCUUGCCAUUAGAACGGGAGCAGCGGAAAUAAUGGUAGACUGUUUAAUGUGCUACGAUGAAGAUGACAGAAAGCUUUGUUUUUUCGUCAGCGUUUAAAGACGUGUCCGCAGGUACGGCAAAAUAUAGUCAAUUGUAAUGAUCAAACAAGGUCUUUAUAGGAGAGAGAACUGGCUGCAUGAGUUAUAAUGUAUAUAUGUUAUUACGAUGCGACGUUAUAUAUA